AGCGAACGCUGGCGGCAGGCUUAACACAUGCAAGUCGAGCGGGCCUUUCGGGGUCAGCGGCGGACGGGUGAGUAACGCGUGGGAACGUGCCUUCUGGUUCGGAAUAACCCUGGGAAACUAGGGCUAAUACCGGAUACGCCCUUAUGGGGAAAGGUUUACUGCCGGAAGAUCGGCCCGCGUCUGAUUAGCUAGUUGGUGGGGUAACGGCCUACCAAGGCGACGACCAGUAGCUGGUCUGAGAGGAUGAUCAGCCACACUGGGACUGAGACACGGCCCAGACUCCUACGGGAGGCAGCAGUGGGGAAUAUUGGACAAUGGGCGCAAGCCUGAUCCAGCCAUGCCGCGUGAGUGAUGAAGGCCUUAGGGUUGUAAAGCUCUUUUAUCCGGGACGAUAAUGACGGUACCGGAGGAAUAAGCCCCGGCUAACUUCGUGCCAGCAGCCGCGGUAAUACGAAGGGGGCUAGCGUUGCUCGGAAUCACUGGGCGUAAAGGGCGCGUAGGCGGCGUUUUAAGUCGGGGGUGAAAGCCUGUGGCUCAACCACAGAAUGGCCUUCGAUACUGGGACGCUUGAGUAUGGUAGAGGUUGGUGGAACUGCGAGUGUAGAGGUGAAAUUCGUAGAUAUUCGCAAGAACACCGGUGGCGAAGGCGGCCAACUGGACCAUUACUGACGCUGAGGCGCGAAAGCGUGGGGAGCAAACAGG
rnacentral:rRNA from 1 species